AACGAACGCUGGCGGCAUGCCUAACACAUGCAAGUCGAACGAGCCCUUCGGGACUUGUGGCGCACGGGUGUGUAACGCGUGGGAACCUGCACUUAGGUUCGGAAUAACUCCCCGAAAGGGGUGAUAAUACCGGAUAAUGUCUUCGGACCAAGGAUUUAUCGCCUUUGGAUGGGCCCGCGUUGGAUUAGCUAGUUGGUAGGGUAAAAGCCUACCAAGGCGCCGAUCCAUAGCUGGUCAGAGAGGAUGAUCAGCCACACUGGGACUGAGACACGGCCCAGACUCCUACGGGAGGCAGCAGUGGGGAAUAGUGGACAAUGGGCGAAAGCCUGAUCCAGCAAUGCCGCGUGAGUGAUGAAGGCCUUAGGGUUGUAAAGCGCUUUUACCCGGGAUGAUAAUGACAGUACCGGGAGAAUAAGCUCCGGCUAACUCCGUG
rnacentral:rRNA from 1 species